GACGUAGGGGGCGAGCGUUGUCCGGAUUUAUUGGGCGUAAAGCGCGCGUAGGCGGCCCGCUUAGUCGGGUGUGAAAAUCCGGGGCUCAACCCCGGACUUGCAUCCGAUACUGGCGGGCUGGAGGCAGACAGGGGAGAGCGGAAUUCCUGGUGUAGCGGUGAAAUGCGCAGAUAUCAGGAGGAACACCGGUGGCGAAGGCGGCUCUCUGGGUCUGUCCUGACGCUCAGGCGCGAAAGCUAGGGGAGCAAACAGG
rnacentral:rRNA from 1 species